UGAUUUAUUUUUUUGAGAUAAACCGCAGCCGCCUUAAGAAGUCAAGGAAUAUUGUCGGAUUUAAAGGAAUUUUUGAAGAUGAACAGAAAUAAAGAAGAAAUUAAUCAUUUUAGGUCAUGAUUCGAAUUGACAACAUAUAUAUAUGAACUAGUUGCCCAUUGAUUGGUCAAUUUUAAAUGAUAUAGAUUCUAAUCAGUUUUAGGAUUCAGUUAUAUAAAUGACUCAAUUUGAUAUAUGAAAUACAAACUGGAG
rnacentral:lncRNA from 1 species